rnacentral:rRNA from 1 species
CCUACGGGAGGCAGCAGUGAGGAAUAUUGGUCACUGGGCGCGAGCCUGAACCAGCCAAGUCGCGUGAGGGAAGACGGUCCUAUGGAUUGUAAACCUCUUUUGUCGGGGAGCAAAAGACGCCACGCGUGGCGUUCCGAGAGUACCCGAAGAAAAAGCAUCGGCGAACUCCGUGCCAGCAGCCGCGGUAAUACGGAGGAUGCGAGCGUUAUCCGGAUUUAUUGGGUUAAAAGGGUGCGCAGGCGGAAGAUCAAGUCAGCGGUAAAAUUGAGAGGCUCAACCUCUUCGAGCCGUUGAAACUGGUGUUCUUGAGUGAGUGAGAAGUAUGCGGAAUGCGUGGUGGAGCGGUGAAAUGCAUAGAUAUCACGCAGAACUCCGAUUGAGAAGGCAGCAUACCGGCGCUCAACUGACGCUCAUGCACGAAAGUGUGGGUAUCGAACAGGAGUAGAUACCCCAGUAGUC